rnacentral:lncRNA from 1 species
GUACGCAUGCGCGAUGUUCGAGACAGCUGUACGCAUGCGCGACAUUAUGGACGGCAGUACGCAUGCGCGAUCCCCGAGACGGUAAUACGCAUGCGCGAGAUUACGGACGGCAGUACGCAUGCGCGACAUCGUGUACAACUGUACGCAUGCGCGACAUUAUAGACGGCAGUACGCAUGCGCGAGUUUCCAGACGGCAGUACGCAUGCGCGAUGUGCGAGACAGCAGUACGCAUGCGCGACAUUAUGGACGGCAGUACGCAUGCGCGAGCCCCGAGACGGAAGUACGCAUGCGCGAGAUUACGGACGGCAGUACGCAUGCGCGACAUUACGGACAGCAGUACGCAUGCGCGAGCUUCGAGACGGUAAUACGCAUGCGCGAGAUUACGGACGGCAGUACGCAUGCGCGACAUCGUGUACAACUGUACGCAUGCGCGACAUUAUAGACGGCAGUACGCAUGCGCGAGCUUCCAGACGGUAGUACGCAUGCGCGACAUUACUGACAGCACUACGCAUGUGCGAGCCCCGAGACGGCAAUACGCAUGCGCGAGCCGCGAGACGGCAGUACGCAUGCGCGAGCCGCGAGAACGCAGUACGCAUGCGCGAGUUUCCAGACUGCAGUACACAUGCGCACCAUUACGGACUGCAGUACGCAUGCGCGAGCCGUGAAACGGCAGUAUGCAUGCGCGACAUCAUAGACAGCAGUACGCAUGCGCGGGACGCGAGACGGCAGUACGCAUGCGCGAGGUUCGAGACGGCAAUAUGCAUGCGCGACAUUAUGGACGGCAGUACGCAUGCGCGAGACCCGAAACGGUGGCAGCAGAUACCGUGGAAACAACAACUCCGCCGCCUUUUAGCGGACUGCCUGGGACCGUGGGCGCGCAUCCCCUUCUCUCUUUCUUUUCUUGGCAGAGGAUGGUGGGGGGAAGAAGGGGAGACGACAAAGAAAAGCAAGGAAAACUUCGACAAACCCUCCAACCCCGUGCUAAAUGCUUUGGUAUACCUGUAAAUAAAUGAAUACAUAACCAGCAAGUUGUUGUUGUCAUGCCUUUUUUUUUUUUUAAUAUGUGUAUGUGUAUACAUUUAUAUAUACACAUGUAUAUACAUAUUUCAGCCAGCAUCUGAGGUGAUGAAAAAAUAUGGUAUGAAUUGCACGCAGUGAAGCCAAGGGUGCCUUGGAACAAUUAACAGAGCAAUGCAAAACAGCCGUGCAAGUCUUCUAAGAAACAUCAUAGUAACAGCUUUCCUACCCGGCCUCCCCCUCUUAGAUUCCAUCUGGCUCACCCAAGGCUUGUAAAUAUGCACUGGCUCGCUUUCGAUAUUGAGCAAUUUGUCGUCAGUUCUUUC